rnacentral:rRNA from 1 species
UACAGAGGGGGCAAGCGUUGUUCGGAAUUACUGGGCGUAAAGGGCGCGUAGGCGGCCGCCUAAGUCAGACGUGAGAUCCCUCGGCUCAACCGGGGAACUGCGUCUGAUACUGGGUGGCUUGAAUCCGGGAGAGGGAUGCGGAAUUCCACGUGUAGCAGUGAAAUGCGUAGAUAUGUGGAGGAACACCGAUGGCGAAGGCAGCCCCCUGGGUCAAGACUGACGCUCAUGCACGAAAGCGUGGGGAGCAAACAGG